rnacentral:rRNA from 1 species
UACGGGGGGAGCAAGCGUUGUUCGGAUUUACUGGGCGUAAAGGGCGCGUAGGCGGUCGUGACAGGUCACUCGUGAAAUCUCCGGGCUUAACUCGGAACGGUCAAGUGAUACUGUCGGACUAGAGUACAGGAGGGGCAACUGGAAUUCUCGGUGUAGCGGUGAAAUGCGUAGAUAUCGAGAGGAACACCUGCGGCGAAGGCGGGUUGCUGGGCUGAUACUGACGCUGAGGCGCGAAAGCCAGGGGAGCGAACGGG